rnacentral:rRNA from 1 species
AAGCCAGUGGUGAACUCCACAUACGCAUCCUUUGCUGAGGAUACGGUUAACGGAGCGAAAGCGACGUUCAACCUCAAAAGAAGCAGAGGGGGCUUAGUGGUGGGGUGACUGCGUACCUUUUGUAUAAUGGGUCAGCGACUUAUAUUCUGUAGCAAGGUUAACCGAAUAGGGGAGCCGGAGGGAAACCGAGUCUUAAUUGGGCGUUAAGUUGCAGGGUAUAGACCCGAAACCCGGUGAUCUAGCCAUGGGCAGGUUGAAGGUUGGGUAACACUAACUGGAGGACCGAACCGACUAAUGUUGAAAAAUUAGCGGAUGACCUGUGGCUGGGGGUGAAAGGCCAAUCAAACCGGGAGAUAGCUGGUUCUCCCCGAAAGCUAUUUAGGUAGCGCCUCGUGAAUUCAUCUCCGGGGGUAGAGCACUGUUUCGGCUAGGGGGUCAUCCCGACUUACCAACCCGAUGCAAACUGCGAAUACCGGAGAAUGUUAUCACGGGAGACACACGGCGGGUGCUAACGUCCGUCGUGAAGAGGGAAACAACCCAGACCGCCAGCUAAGGUCCCAAAGUCAUGGUUAAGUGGGAAACGAUGUGGGAAGGCCCAGACAGCCAGGAUGUUGGCUUAGAAGCAGCCAUCAUUUAAAGAAAGCGUAAUAGCUCACUGGUCGAGUCGGCCUGCGCGGAAGAUGUAACGGGGCUAAACCAUGCACCGAAGCUGCGGCAGCGAACGUAUCACCCAAGACAACUUUGCGGAGUUGACGAUUGACGGAGCGAAGCGACGUCAAAGCGUUCAUUAAAGUCGAGUUGGCUUAGGGAUACGUUCGUUGGGUAGGGGAGCGUUCUGUAAGCCUGUGAAGGUGUGUCGUGAGGCAUGCUGGAGGUAUCAGAAGUGCGAAUGCUGACAUAAGUAACGAUAAAGCGGGUGAAAAGCCCGCUCGCCGGAAGACCAAGGGUUCCUGUCCAACGUUAAUCGGGGCAGGGUGAGUCGACCCCUAAGGCGAGGCCGAAAGGCGUAGUCGAUGGGAAACGGGUUAAUAUUCCCGUACUUGGUGUUACUGCGAAGGGGGGACGGAGAAGGCUAUGUUGGCCGGGCGACGGUUGUCCCGGUUUAAGCGUGUAGGCUGGUUUUCCAGGCAAAUCCGGAA